rnacentral:rRNA from 1 species
GACGAACGCUGGCGGCGUGCCUAAUACAUGCAAGUUGAGCGCUGAAGGUUGGUACUUGUACCAACUGGAUGAGCAGCGAACGGGUGAGUAACGCGUGGGGAAUCUGCCUUUGAGCGGGGGACAACAUUUGGAAACGAAUGCUAAUACCGCAUAAAAACUUUAAACACAAGUUUUAAGUUUGAAAGAUGCAAUUGCAUCACUCAAAGAUGAUCCCGCGUUUUAUUAGCUAGUUGGUGAGGUAAAGGCUCCCCAAGCGGAUGAUACAUAGCCGACCUGAGAGGGUGAUCGGCCACAUUGGGACUGAGACACGGCCCAAACUCCUACGGGAGGCAGCAGUAGGGAAUCUUCGGCAAUGGACGAAAGUCUGACCGAGCAACGCCGCGUGAGUGAAGAAGGUUUUCGGAUCGUAAAACUCUGUUGGUAGAGAAGAACGUUGGUGAGAGUGGAAAGCUCAUCAAGUGACGGUAACUACCCAGAAAGGGACGGCUAACUACGU